rnacentral:rRNA from 1 species
AAUGAACGCUGGCGGCAUGCCUUACACAUGCAAGUCGAACGGCAGCAUGACCUAGCUUGCUAGGUUGAUGGCGAGUGGCGCACGGGUGAGUAAUGCAUCGGAACGUGCCUUUUAGUGGGGGAUAACGUAGCGAAAGUUACGCUAAUACCGCAUAUUCUCUGAGGAGGAAAGCAGGGGGCCUUCGGGCCUUGCGCUAGAAGAGCGGCCGAUGUCGGAUUAGCUAGUUGGUGAGGUAAAGGCUCACCAAGGCAACGAUCCGUAGCGGGUCUGAGAGGAUGAUCCGCCACACUGGGACUGAGACACGGCCCAGACUCCUACGGGAGGCAGCAGUGGGGAAUUUUGGACAAUGGGCGCAAGCCUGAUCCAGCCAUGCCGCGUGAGUGAAGAAGGCCUUCGGGUUGUAAAGCUCUUUCGGGUGGGAAGAAAUCGCACUCUCUAAUACAGGGUGUGGAUGACGGUACCAGCAUAAGAAGCACCGGCUAACUACGUG